UACGUAGGCAGCAAGCGUUGUUCGGAGUUACUGGGCGUAAAGGGUGCGUAGGCGGCUUUUUAAGUUUGGUGUGAAAUCUCCCGGCUCAACUGGGAGGGUGCGCCGAAUACUGAGAGGCUAGAGUGCGGGAGAGGAAAGUGGAAUUCCUGGUGUAGCGGUGAAAUGCGUAGAUAUCAGGAAGAACACCCGUGGCUAAGGCGGCUCUCUAGUACGUGACUGAUGCUGAGACGCGAAAGCGUGGGGAGCGAACAGG
rnacentral:rRNA from 1 species